rnacentral:rRNA from 1 species
ACGUAGGGGGCGAGCGUUGUCCGGAUUUAUUGGGCGUAAAGAGCUCGUAGGCGGCUCACUAAGUCGGGUGUGAAACCUCCAGGCUCAACCUGGAGACGCCACCCGAUACUGGUGUGGCUAGAGUCCGGUAGGGGAGCAUGGAAUUCCUGGUGUAGCGGUGAAAUGCGCAGAUAUCAGGAGGAACACCAGUGGCGAAGGCGGUGCUCUGGGCCGGAACUGACGCUGAGGAGCGAAAGCAUGGGGAGCAAACAGG